AGGUACGGUGUAGAAGUUCUUGUUUUUCUCUAUUUUUGAGCGGUGUUCCACUGGAUCAUAUUGACCUAAUGCCUGUAAUUUUCGAAUUUUGAGCUGGGAAUGGUUGGGUUUGACUCAUUGAUGAAGAAUUUGUGCUGAAAAUCAAUUCUGUCCGUCCGGCGGUCGUGUGUAGGUACACUAGAGAGACCUAACAUUUUCAGGUUGGCUGUGGGUCCUGUCAAGGCAGAGAUAGUGACAGGUAUCACCAUCUUCACAAGGUGAAAAAAACAAAACCAAUAGGAAAAUUCAGCUAUAAAUUUACAAACUGCUACAACAGAAAAGAUGUUCUUACAUAUUGUGCCAACCGACAACAUUAAAGUCAUGUGAUAUUACUUUAAAUUGAAGUUUAUGAGAAAGCUCUGGACUGUGAACGUAUUUUUUCAAUUCAAUUUUGAACUUCCACCAAAGUAAUAUGCAUUAGGAAAAUAAAAACAGAGAAAUAUAGUAUUUCAACUUUAUUGAGUAUGAUCUUUCCUGUACAAUUUCUGUGCAUACAGAACAAUAAUGAUGUAAGCAAGCAAAUAAAAUUGAUAAUAGUAACUAAUCAUAAUAAAUUCAAUUAUAUUCAAAUAUUAUACAAAGAUGAUUAUGGAUUAUACAUUUAUCCAUAUUGGUAUUCUUUAAACUCUGUACAACCACCAUCUACCUUUUACAUCAACUAAUAUUUGUUAUAUGCCAAUGUAGAUAAUCCAUUGAUAUUAUCAACGAUCAAGAAAGUUACAAGAACCGAAUACAGAAGGUUACCGAUUAAAUAGUUUUGAGGAUUGCAAAAUAGACGAAAUUUCACAAGAAGACAAAGUUCGGAGUACUGAAAACUGCCAGUACUUCACAGUAUCGAAAACCAUUCAACUUCGACAAAGACAACCGAUUCCCUCAAAAUCAUUGA